rnacentral:rRNA from 1 species
UACGUAGGGUGCAAGCGUUGUCCGGAAUUAUUGGGCGUAAAGAGCUCGUAGGCGGUCUGUCGCGUCGGAUGUGAAAAUCCAGGGCUCAACCCUGGACCUGCAUUCGAUACGGGCAGACUAGAGUUCGGCAGGGGAGACUGGAAUUCCUGGUGUAGCGGUGAAAUGCGCAGAUAUCAGGAGGAACACCAAUAGCGAAGGCAGCUCGCUGGGACGGUACUGACGCUGAGGCGCGAAAGCGUGGGGAGCAAACAGG